AGUGUGAUUCAAAGGACACUCUGAAGAAAGUGAAAAGACAACCCACAUAUAUUGAGACACAGGUUAUGCUUCCAUCACAGUAAGUUUACUGCAGUGGUGACAAUAAGACCUGUAACAUUU